CUAAUGUUUGAACUAGAAACACUUCUCUUUAAGUAGGAGCUGGUGUCUGGGGGCCUCUUUCAGGGACUGGCUGCCCUGGAGCUGCUCUCCCUCCAGAUGUAUAAGUACCAAAUUACAAAAUACCUUACAAGUGGUCCAGUCUGAUACCACUCGCCAUCACCACCACCACCAUCGUUUGAUGCUUGAAACUCUCAAUAGGUUGGAGUAAGUACUGUUCAGACACACGUGACAAAUGAUGUCUAUACUCAGUGCCCAUAGCUAUGGUGAACCUAGGCUUAGAUGUGAUUCCUGGCUACUGACCUGAACCACAACAGAUUCUCCUCCUACUUAAGAAAGAAUGUUGCCUGCAAGGUCCUCCAACUCAAUCUGCACUCAGCCAUAUGAUUUUCUUCAGCCAGUGGGUAUAGCUGACCCAAGGCAAGCAGAGGUUUGAAAUACGCUUACACGGGGCGUCUGGGUGGCUCAGUUGGUUAAGUGACUGCCUUCGGCUCAGGUCAUGAUCCUGGAGUCCCAGGAUCGAG